rnacentral:rRNA from 1 species
GGACGCCUGAGAAACGGCGUCCACAUCUACGGGUGGCAGCAGGCGCGUAAAUUGCCCAAUCUCAACAGAGAGGAGGCGGCGACAAUAAAUCCCGAUGGCUUUGGGGGCAACCCCAGGCCAAUCAGAAUAAGUACACAUUAAAUCCCUUAACCAAUAUAAUUGGAGGGCAAGUCUGGUGCCAGCAGCCGCGGUAAUUCCAGCUCCAAUAGCAUAUACUAAUGUUGUUGCAGUUAAAACGCUCGUAGCUCAAUAUCUUUUGAGCGCUUUCGGCCGUUCUCUUUAGCCUACCGUAAAAGGAUGGUUAAAGAACCGGUCGGCUCAAACACUGUAGGUCAUGGUAAAGUUAGCAAUAGCUUUAUCAUAAUCGACUGUGCAUAAACCUUGAUGCUCAAGGUAGGCCUUUUAUAGGGUAGAUACACAGUGCAUGGCAUUGUGGAACAAGGCAUCUCGCGGCUUAGUUGGUGGGCCGCGGGGGCAAUGAUUAAUAGGGAGGAGCGGGGGCCUUCAUAUUGGG